AUGAACGCUGGCGGCGUGCCUAAUACAUGCAAGUCGAGCGAACAGAUGAGGAGCUUGCUCCUCUGACGUUAGCGGCGGACGGGUGAGUAACACGUGGAUAACCUACCUAUAAGACUGGGAUAACUUCGGGAAACCGGAGCUAAUACCGGAUAAUAUAUUGAACCGCAUGGUUCAAUAGUGAAAGACGGUUUUGCUGUCACUUAUAGAUGGAUCCGCGCCGCAUUAGCUAGUUGGUAAGGUAACGGCUUACCAAGGCAACGAUGCGUAGCCGACCUGAGAGGGUGAUCGGCCACACUGGAACUGAGACACGGUCCAGACUCCUACGGGAGGCAGCAAUAGGGAAUCUUCCGCAAUGGGCGAAAGCCUGACGGAGCAACGCCGCGGGAGUGAUGAAGGUCUUCGGAUCGGAAAACUCUGUUAUUAGGGAAGAACAAAUGUGUAAGUAACUAUGCACGUCUUGACGGUACCUAAUCAGAAAGCCACGGCUAACUACGUG
rnacentral:rRNA from 1 species